CUCGUCCCCAGUGUUCCAGGCGUCCUCUCCUCCCAGCAGGUACUUCAGGCCGCGGCUUGGCACGUAGUAGGCCAGAACUUUGUUUUUCGGCUUGGCCUGUCUUGGGCUAUACCGGAAUGGCAUCUGUGUGAUGCUGUCACUUGUACGCCUGGGUGGCAUUCAUUUUGAGCGAUAUAGAGCGGAUUGUCCUCGUAUUUGCAGGCGCUGCC